rnacentral:misc_RNA from 1 species
UCUCCGUUGGUGAACCAGCGGAGGGAACAUUACAGGAUCGAAAGACUCCUAUAACCCCUGUGAACUUACUACAAAUACGUUGCUUCGGCGGGUGCCCCGGGUCUCCCGGGGCGUUCAGCCCGCCGGCAGCCUUCAAAUUCUGUUUCUUUGCGUUGGCAUCUCGAGUAUACAAAAAUAAGUUAAAACUUUCAACAACGGAUCUCUUGGUUCUG